rnacentral:ncRNA from 1 species
CAAUUAUUACUUAAUAUACACAUGCAAGUCUCCGCACCCCUGUGAAAACGCCCUUAAAUCCCCACUAGGGAUAAGGAGCUGGUAUCAGGCACAAUACUUAGCCCAAGACACCUAGCUAUGCCACACCCACACGGGAAUUCAGCAGUGAUUAACAUUGAAAAUAAGCGACAGCUUGACUCAGUUAAAGUAAAAAGAGCCGGCAAAUCUGGUGCCAGCCGCCGCGGUUACACCAUGUGGCCCAAAUUGACCCCCUUCGGCGUAAAGCGUGAUUAAAGUUUUUACUAAAUUAUAGCUGAACUAAAACUAAGCUGUGACACGCUUGUAUUUAGGAAAAUCAAAAACGAAAGUUACUGUAAUUAAAACAACUUGAACCCACGACAGUUGAGACACAAACUGGGAUUAGAUACCCCACUAUGCUUAACCGUAAACUUUAAAUUACACCGAUAUCGCCUGGGAACUACGAGCAAAGCUUAAAACCCAAAGGACUUGACGGUACCCCACAUCCCCCUAGAGGAGCCUGUCCUGUAAUCGACAACCCCCGUUCAACCUCACCAUUUUUAGCCUAUCAGCCUGUAUACCUCCGUCGUCAGCUUACCACGUGAGCGACCCUAAGUGAGCCUAAUGCCCACACGCCAACACGUCAGGUCAAGGUGCAGCAAAUAAAAUGGGAAGAGAUGGGCUACACUCUCUACUGUAGAAGAUACGAAAGACUAUUUAUGAAACCUAGUCGAAAGGCGGAUUUAGUAGUAAAAAGAGACAAGAGCGCUCUUUUUAACACGGCACUGGGGUGUGUACACACCGCCCGUCACCCUCUUCGAAGCUAACAGAAAGUCCAUAACACACCUAAGCACGAUAGAAGAGGCAAGUCGUAACAUGGUAAGUAUACCGGAAGGUGUGCUUGGAAACAAAAUAUAGCUUAACCAAAGCAUCUCGCUUACACCGAGAAAAUAUCUGUUAAACCCGGAUUAUUUUGAGCUAAUAAUCUAGCCCCCCCAAUAUCAAAUGAAACCAUUAACUUUAUAACAUAAACUAAAACAUUUUAUAAAUUUAGUAAAGGCGAUUAAAAAAUUGAUAGGAGCUAUAAAAAAGUACCGCAAGGGAAA